GUAUCAACGCAGGCUUCUAGUAGUUGAUCGCGUACUUCGUGACCGAAGCUUCCCCAGAAGGCUGCAUCGUCUCAGGAUCGCCAUUUUAUGUGUUUGGCUCCGAGACUGGGACGGUGGGUGCGUGCGGUGCAAUCUAGAGAGCGUAUUCCGUGCAUUAUCCGCAACAUGUUACCCAAAUACUUUGCGCCCGACAUGUACAAGUAACGACAGGUGUCGGAGUGAGUGAUCGGGGCAGCGAAGGCUCGGGCCGAAAUGGUCCCGGAAUAGUGAGCUGUGCGUGAGUGUGUUUUCAUCGAGUAGUGCGUCGCACUGGCUUAUUCACUGCUGUCACCGUUUGUUAAUACCUGUGCCAUUCGGGAAAGUCAGCUUUGGGUCAAAUUACGGACGGCCUCUGGAUUCCUCGCGACACCCCCUUGUCACCAUCUACGAUGAGUUCGCGCAACAUACCCUCAGACAAGAUAAAUCUACGCCUCAUUCUUGUCAGCGGUAAGACAAAAGAGUUCCUAUUCAGUCCAAGCGACUCCGCGGGGGACAUAGCACAUCAUGUGUUUGAAAACUGGCCGGAAGGUAAGCUACCAAUUGGAAAAAAAUUCA